rnacentral:misc_RNA from 1 species
GAUGAAGAACGUAGCGAAAUGCGAUACUUGGUGUGAAUUGCAGAAUCCCGUGAACCAUCGAGUCUUUGAACGCAAGUUGCGCCCGAAGCCAUUUGGUUGAGGGAACGUCUGCCUGGGCGUCACAUAUCGUUGCCCGAUGCCUAUUGCACUGUGAUAGGAAAUUCUAGGGCGAAAGAUGGCUUCCCGUGAGCGUUGUUGCCUCGCGGUUGGUUGAAAAUUGAGUCAUUGGUAGGGUGUGCCAUGAUAGAUGGUGGUCGAGUUUGCACGAGACCGAUCAUGUGUGCGCUCCCCAAAAUAUGGACUCUUUGACCCCACACGCGUCCUUUGACGCUCAUGACGAGACCUCAGGUCAGGCGGGGCUACCCGCUGAGUUUAAGCAUAUCAAUAAGCGGAGGA